rnacentral:rRNA from 1 species
AUUGAACGCUGGCGGCAGGCCUAACACAUGCAAGUCGAGCGGAGCGGCGGACGGGUGAGUAAUGCCUAGGAAUCUGCCUGGUAGUGGGGGAUAACGUCCGGAAACGGGAGCUAAUACCGCAUACUAUCAGAUGAGCCUAGGUCGGAUUAGCUAGUUGGGGGGGUAAAGGCCUACCAAGGCGACGAUCCGUAACUGGUCUGGGAGGAUGUUCAGUCACAAGGGAACUGAUAAACGGGCCAUAAGCCUACGGGAGGCAGCAGGGGGGAAUAUGUGACAAUGGGCGAAAGCCUGAUCCAGCCAUGCCGCGUGUGUGAAGAAGGUCUUCGGAUUGUAAAGCACGUUAAGUUGGGAGGCGGUACCAACAGAAUAAGCACCGGCUAACUUCGUGCCAGCAGCCGCGGUAAUAC